AUUGGUAGAAUUGCUUGAACUGAACCUUUUCCAAAUGUUUUCUCUCCAAUUACGAUUGCUCUUUUAUGAUCUUGUAAAGCACCACUUACAAUCUCUGAUGCUGAAGCAGAACCACCAUUUACCAGAACAACAACAGGAACAUUUGUAACUGUAUUUGAUUGUUUAGCAUUAAAUUUUUCUUCGUCCUCAGCACUUCUUCCUUUUUGAGAAACAAUUACACCUUGGUCAACAAAUAAAUCAACAACACCAAUUGCUUGAGUUAAAAGUCCUCCAGGGUUAUUUCUUA
rnacentral:ncRNA from 1 species